rnacentral:tRNA from 1 species
GGGCGAUUAGCUCAGCGGGAGAGCACUUCGUUGACAUCGAAGGGGUCGCUGGUUCAAUCCCAGCCGCGCCCACCA